GGCUGCUAUCUCUCCCUCUCUGUGUCCUCCCAGUGGUUUUACCCUAUGGUAGGUUACGUCAGGCUGUUCUACCACAGGGUAGAACCACGGACAGGAUACGGGGAGCUCUCAACAUGGAGCAG
rnacentral:pre_miRNA from 14 species